UACAGAGGUGGCAAGCGUUGUUCGGAUUUACUGGGCGUACAGGGAGCGUAGGCGGUUGGGUAAGCCCUCCGUGAAAUCUCCGGGCCUAACCCGGAAAGUGCGGAGGGGACUGCUCGGCUAGAGGAUGGGAGAGGAGCGCGGAAUUCCCGGUGUAGCGGUGAAAUGCGUAGAGAUCGGGAGGAAGGCCGGUGGCGAAGGCGGCGCUCUGGAACAUUUCUGACGCUGAGGCUCGAAAGCGUGGGGAGCAAACAGGG
rnacentral:rRNA from 1 species